GAUUAAGUUAUUAAGGGCGCACGGUGAAUGCCUUGGCACUAGAAGCCGAUGAAGGACGUUACUAACGACGAUAUGCUUUGGGGAGCUGUAAGUAAGCUGUGAUCCAGAGAUUUCCGAAUGGGGGAACCCAGCACGAGUGAUGUCGUGUUAUCAACAUGUGAAUCCAUAACAUGUUUGAAGGUAGACCCGGAGAACUGAAACAUCUUAGUACCCGGAGGAAGAGAAAGAAAUAUCGAUUCCCAGAGUAGCGGCGAGCGAAACGGGAAGAGCCCAAACCAAUGAGCUUGCUCAUUGGGGUUGUAGGACACUCUAUACGGAGUUACAAACGUUGACGUUAGACGAAGUAGUUGGAAAGCUACAUCAAAGAAGGUAAUAAUCCUGUAGUCGAAAACGUUAACACUCUUGAGUGGAUCCUGAGUACGACGGAGCACGUGAAAUU
rnacentral:rRNA from 1 species